UACGUAGGGCGCGAGCGUUGUCCGGAAUUAUUGGGCGUAAAGAGCUCGUAGGUGGCUUGUUGCGUCUGCCGUGAAAGCCCGUGGCUUAACUACGGGUCUGCGGUGGAUACGGGCAGGCUAGAGGCUGGUAGGGCAAGCGGAAUUCCUGGUGUAGCGGUGAAAUGCGCAGAUAUCAGGAGGAACACCGGUGGCGAAGGCGGCUUGCUGGGCCAGUUCUGACGCUGAGGAGCGAAAGCGUGGGGAGCGAACAGG
rnacentral:rRNA from 1 species